rnacentral:rRNA from 1 species
AACGAACGCUGGCGGCAUGCCUAACACAUGCAAGUCGAACGAAGGCUUCGGCCUUAGUGGCGCACGGGUGCGUAACGCGUGGGAAUCUGCCCUUGGGUUCGGAAUAACUCCCCGAAAGGGGUGCUAAUACCGGAUGAUGUCGCAAGACCAAAGAUUUAUCGCCCAAGGAUGAGCCCGCGUAGGAUUAGCUAGUUGGUGAGGUAAAGGCUCACUAAGGCGACGAUCCUUAGCUGGUCUGAGAGGAUGAUCAGCCACACUGGGACUGAGACACGGCCCAGACUCCUACGGGAGGCAGCAGUGGGGAAUAUUGGACAAUGGGCGAAAGCCUGAUCCAGCAAUGCCGCGUGAGUGAUGAAGGCCCUAGGGUUGUAAAGCUCUUUUACCCGGGAUGAUAAUGACAGUACCGGGAGAAUAAGCCCCGGCUAACUCCGUGCCAGCCGCCGCAGUAACAC